GUAGAGACAGAGAGAGAGAGAGGGUAGAGACAGAGAGAGAGAGAGGGUAGAGACAGAGAGAGAGAGGGUAGAGACAGAGAGAGGGUAGAGACAGAGAGAGGGUAGAGACAGAGAGAGAGAGGAGACAGAGAGAGAGAGAGAGAGAGAGAGGGUAGAGACAGAGAGAGAGAGGGUAGAGACAGAGAGAGAGGGUAGAGACAGAGAGAGAGAGAGGGUAGAGACAGAGAGAGAGAGAGGGUAGAGACAGAGAGAGAGAGGGUAGAGACAGAGAGAGGGUAGAGACAGAGAGAGAGAGGGUAGAGACAGAGAGAGAGAGAGAGAGAGGGUAGAGACAGAGAGAGAGAGGGUAGAGACAGAGAGAGAGAGGGUAGAGACAGAGAGAGAGAGGGUAGAGACAGAGAGAGAGAGGGUAGAGACAGAGAGAGAGAGAGGGUAGAGACAGAGAGAGAGAGAGGGUAGAGACAGAGAGAGAGAGAGGGUAGAGACAGAGAGAGAGAGAGGGUAGAGACAGAGAGAGAGAGAGGACACAGAGAGAGAGAGAGAGAGAGAGAGGGUAGAGACAGAGAGAGAGAGGACAGAGAGAGAGAGAGAGAGAGGGUAGAGACAGAGAGAGGGUAGAGACAGAGAGAGAGAGGGUAGAGACAGAGAGAGAGAGGGUAGAGACAGAGAGAGAGAGAGGGU
rnacentral:lncRNA from 1 species